GGACUACUGGGGUAUCUAAUCCUGUUUGCUCCCCACGCUUUCGCGUUUUAGCGUCAGCAACGAGCCAGAGGGCCGCCUUCGCCACCGGUGUUCCUCCUGAUAUCUACGCAUUUCACCGCUACACCAGGAAUUCCACCCUCCUCUCUCGCGCUCCAGCUGGCUAGUUUCCAAUGCCCUUCCGAGGUUGAGCCUCGGACUUUCACAUCAGACUUGACCAACCGCCUACACGCCCUUUACGCCCAGUCAAUCCGAACAACGCUUGCACCCUCCGUCUUACCGCGGCUGCUGGCAC
rnacentral:rRNA from 1 species